GCUUAACUCUUUCUUCGUGCCUAAUACAUGCAAGUCGAGCGAACAGACGAGGAGCUUGCUCCUUUGACGUUAGCGGCGGACGGGUGAGUAACACGUAGGUAACCUACCUAUAAGACUGGGAUAACUUCGGGAAACCGGAGCUAAUACCGGAUAAUAUUUCGAACCGCAUGGUUCGAUAGUGAAAGAUGGCUUUGCUAUCACUUAUAGAUGGACCUGCGCCGUAUUAGCUAGUUGGUAAGGUAACGGCUUACCAAGGCAACGAUACGUAGCCGACCUGAGAGGGUGAUCGGCCACACUGGAACUGAGACACGGUCCAGACUCCUACGGGAGGCAGCAGUAGGGAAUCUUCCGCAAUGGGCGAAAGCCUGACGGAGCAACGCCGCGUGAGUGAUGAAGGUCUUCGGAUCGUAAAACUCUGUUAUUAGGGAAGAACAAACGUGUAAGUAACUGUGCACGUCUUGACGGUACCUAAUCAGAAAGCCACGGCUAACUACGUG
rnacentral:rRNA from 1 species